GUCUUCAAACCUCCUUCAACAAACUCCUUUCAUACUUUCAAAAGCUUCAGCUGCCAUGCCAUUCUAAUCCAGCCACAAGAUUUGUGUAAUUUCAGUGCCUAAGAGAUGGGUUGUGUCCCAACUACAAUAUAUCGAAGAAGACCUUGAUUCUUAACUAGAAUGUACAAAUCCAAGAAGACCAAAAGACUUGGCUGCUCUUCUCCACAAGGUGGCUGGCCUUUGGGUUUGCAUUUGACUUGGUAUGAGAUUAGGACUACUUGACUUAGUUUGAGAUUGGAAACCACACCCAAACAUUGCCCCCUUGAUUCCUUGGCCUUCGAUUGGUGGAGGGUAAGUAAUAAAAAUUCUUACGACUAUUUAGUUUUCUCUAUAUGUUUCAACUGCAUGCUUUACUGUAGCAAUUUAUGGUGUUUUGAACUUAAUUUAUGUUUAGGGAGAUACCCUAAUCAAUUUUCGAGAGACCUUUGAACUUCAUAACCAUUAAAAAACCUAGGCAUUAUAAUACCAAUUUGCCUCUAAAUGAUCAUAUUAUUCAGUUGAUUUCCAGUGUUCAUGUUGGCUUUCCUAGUAGUGGGGUGGAUAGAUGUAUUUAGCAGUUCACGCCUAACGGUUCAUUUUCCAUUAAGUCAACAUAUAGCUCUUUUCUUCUAAAUGAGGUUGUAGCUAAAUGGGAUUGGCAGUUUAUUUGGAAUUUGCUUCCCCUCCCAAGGUUAAAAUUUUCCUUCUGAUUGUUUGCCAUCAGAAGUUACUUAUUAAUGUACAGAGGAAGAAAAGGGGAGUCACUCAGAUUUCUUCAUGCCCUAGAUGUGCUUAUCCUAUGAAAAAUAUUGCUCACAUAUUUAAGGAUUGUCCUCUCUCUCUCU